CAGCUGCCCCCCCCAUGAGGCCACCCAAAUCCAGCAGCUGCUGCUGCCUGCCAGGCGUGAGGCCAGGCGCGCCGGCCUGCACCAAGCCGCCAACGCUGCUGCCGCCAGCUGCACCCCCCAUGAGGCCACCCAAAUUCAUGAGCUGCUGCUGCCUGCCAGGCGUGAGGCCAGGUGCGCCGGCCUGCGCCAAGCCGCCAACGCUGCUGCCGCCAGCUGCCCCCCCCCCAUGAGGCCCCCCAAAUUCAUGAGCUGCUGCUGCCUGCCAGGCGUGAGGCCAGGCGCGCCGGCCUGCGCCAAGCCGCCAGCGCUGCUGCCGCCAGCUGCUCCCC
rnacentral:lncRNA from 1 species